rnacentral:lncRNA from 1 species
GAAUUGCUGCUCAAUUGUUGGAUCGCCCUCGAUAGAAGCAAGCUGGCUAACCUCACAAACUCCGUCCAUACCUCAAAUGACCAAUGAGCCUCAGACUCAGUUAGGGCCGCACUAAAAAGCUUUUCCUCUGUCUAGAAUGAAAUUCUCUCUUUGUGACGACUGAAAUGAUGAGGAAAUUGAAAAGUGGGGGAGGAAGGCAACAGAGUCAAAAGUGCAGACAACCUCCAUCUAUAGUGAGAAUGGAGUGCCUAAUUCGGCGGAUGCGAAAAAAAACUCGUAAAAUCAAUGUCUUACAAAGAAUUGUGCUGCUAGAUUUGCAUAAAUGUUCAACAUCAGAAGUUAUGCAGAAAACACCAGAGAAGAGAUUGCAAGGUGAUGUAAAGGACUACAAUUCGUCAGGAAAGCAAUCAUGGGCUGAUUUGGUAGAAAAUGAGGAGGAAUAUGUUGAGGUGCAGACAAAGUCGGAAACCCUUGAAUCCGAUUUGAGGUUGUGGAGCAAAAUUGUGUCUAACAGCCCAGUAUCGGAGGGAUUUGAUCUGAAAUCACAGGAACCAAAACAACAGAAUGUCAAAAUUAAAAUGGAAGAUAUUAAGGACGAGGUGGAAUAUUGAAAAAUGAUGUCAUAUGUUAUGUAUUGGGGUCUAACCCCCAACAGCUGUGAUGAAUGACUACUUCCACAGAAUUUGGGGAAAAAUGGGGAUUGACAAAGUUGCGCAAGUAAACAGAGGGGUUUUCCCGGUGAGAUUCACUCAAAUUGAGAGUAUAGUGAGCAUUAGACCAACCUUACCCAACGUGUAUCAUGUUAUAGAAUGAAUAUGGCAAAAUCAUUGAGCAAAAGGUGCAUUAUGAAUGAAAAC